rnacentral:rRNA from 1 species
GUGGGGAAUAUUCCGCAAUGGACGAAAGUCUGACGGAGCAACGCCGCGUGAGUGAUGAAGGUUUUCGGACUGUAAAGCCCUGUUGUUUAGGACGAAAGUGCCUGUUGCAAACAGUUACAGGUAUUGACGGUACUAAACGAGGAAGCCACGGCUAACUACGUGCCAGCAGCCGCGGUAAUACGUAGGUGGCAAGCGUUGACCGGAAUUAUUGGGCGUAAAGAGCAUGUAGGCGGGAAUCUAAGUCUGUUGUGAAAAUGCGGGGCUCAAGCCCGUAUUGAGAGGGAAACUGGGUUACUUGAGUGCAGGAGAGGAAAGGGGAAUUCCCAGUGUAGCGGUGAAAUGCGUAGAUAUUGGGAGGAACACCAGUGGCGAAGGCGCCUUUCUGGACUGUGUCUGACGCUGAGAUGCGAAAGCCAGGGUAGCGAACGGGAUUAGAAACCCUUGUAGUCC